rnacentral:tRNA from 1 species
UGGCUGAUUACACUGACCAAAUUGGAGGACUCAUAAUCCUUUGGUUCCAGGUUCGAAUCCUGGUGGGCCCACCA